rnacentral:rRNA from 1 species
CCUACGGGGCGCAGCAGUGAGGAAUAUUGGUCAAUGGGCGGGAGCCUGAACCAGCCAAGUCGCGUGAGGGAAGACGGUCCUAUGGAUUGUAAACCUCUUUUGUCGGGGAGCAAAGAGACCGCGUGUGGUCAAAAGCGAGAGUACCCGAAGAAAAAGCAUCGGCUAACUCCGUGCCAGCAGCCGCGGUAAUACGGAGGAUCCGAGCGUUAUCCGGAUUUAUUGGGUUUAAAGGGUGCGUAGGCGGAAUGCCAAGUCAGCGGUAAAAUCGCGGGGCUCAACCUCGCUCCGCCGUUGAAACUGGCGUU